CCUACGGGAGGCAGCAGUGGGGAAUAUUGCACAAUGGGGGAAACCCUGAUGCAGCGACGCCGCGUGAGUGAAGAAGUAAUUCGUUAUGUAAAGCUCUAUCAGCAGGGAAGAAAAUGACGGUACCUGAGCAAGAAGCCCCGGCUAACUACGUGCCAGCAGCCGCGGUAAUACGUGGGGGGCAAGCGUUAUCCGGAUUUACUGGGUGUAAAGGGAGCGUAGACGGCAGUGCAAGUCUGGAGUGAAAGGCGGGGGCUCAACCCCCGGACUGCUCUGGAAACUGUACGGCUGGAGUGCAGGAGAGGUAAGUGGAAUUCCUGGUGUAGCGGUGAAAUGCGUAGAUAUUAGGAGGAACACCAGUGGCGAAGGCGGCUUACUGGACUGUAACUGACGUUGAGGCUCGAAAGCGUGGGGAGCAAACAGGAUUAGAUACCCCUGUAGUC
rnacentral:rRNA from 1 species